UUUGUUCAAUUCUUCUGAAACAGAUACUGUUGAUAACGCCUGUGAUGCAGAAUGCACACCUUAUCUUAUGGGGUGAUAUUGAUCGGAGAUGCGCUUUGGGGGCAACUUUCGCAAGAUGAAGAGCACCAGAGCAGAAGCCCAAAACAGCACUAGCAAUGUAUAUGUUGAGAAAAAUAGAAGACUGGGAAGAUCCAGAAGCACAAUUUCAAGGGCCUGCAUGAAGAUGAAAUUAGGUGCAGCGCACGUGAACGGAAGUAAGAUUAUUUCCGUAGCGCCUCAGAGUGGAUUAAUCAUUGGAGAAACCAUGUUACUGCAGGUUCAUAUACGCAUUGAAUCCAAUAAAGAAAAUUCCAAGCUUUAGCGAAACUGAAAAGAAGUUAAAGGAAAAAGAAAACAAAAAGAAAAAGUCUACUACAGGUGGGCUGCUGAUAAUUCAGCAUCUAUGUGUUUCUUUGUUUUGUCAGGUCAAUUUAUUUGAGCACCCUGCUAACCGCCUCUGAACAACAUUUGUGCUUCACAAAUACUAAUAAGAAAGAGUUCAAAUUUCACCUGGAAUUUGUGAUACAGAAGACAAGAGACCUUCAAUAUAUUUCAGUUCAAAAUUUGAUUAUUAGUGACUUCUCAGCGUCACAUCUGUAAAACUACUUGCCACUUUUAUUCUCUUUAUGGUGCCGAUGGCAAAGAGGUAAAUCGUAAUUUUAUAGGUAGAGGUGUUAGAGAUUUAAAACCAUUCUUGCAGCCUCACAUAAAAGCUUAAGGUUUUGGGUUCA